UGGGCUUCCUAAUAGGUUAAAUCCUUUAAAACAAGGAGUUGUGGGGGAAGGGUGUCACGCACUCCUAGAGAAAGGUACACAGUUGUCCGGCUGGGAACGUGCUUGGCGCGACCCUGCGGGCAUCUGACUGGUCUUCCAGCUCAGGAAAAAGAAUUUGAAAGAGGCUUAGUGUGAAGGGGAAUCAAAGAGGAGGUUGUGAUUUGGUCGAAGGUGCCUGGUUUAGUGCUGUAAUUGUCUUAUUUUUUUAUAUAUAUAUUUCUUGGAGUAAACAUUUUAAAUAAACGACAUCAUUGUCUACUGAAAAAAAAAGAAA
rnacentral:lncRNA from 1 species